GUCCAGUGUGUUGGGUAGAGUCCAGUGUGUUGGGUAGAGUCCUGUGUGUUGGGUAGAGUCCAGUGUGUGGGUAGAGUCCAGUGUGUUGGGUAGAGUCCAGUGUGUUGGGUAGAGUCCAGUGUGUUGGGUCGAGUCCAGUGUGUGGGUAGAGUCCAGUGUGUUGGAUAGAGUCCAGUGUGUUGGGUAGAGUCCAGUGUGUUGGGUAGAGUCCAGUGUGUUGGGUAGAGUCCAGUGUGUUGGGUAGAGUCCUGUGUGUUGGGUAGAGUCCAAUGUGUUGGGUAGAGUCCAGUGUGUUGGGUAGAGUCCAGUGUGUUGGGUAGAGUCCAGUGUGUUGGGUAGAGUCCAGUUUGUUGGGUAUUGUCCAGUGUGUUGGGUAGAGUCCAGUGUGUUGGGUAGAGUCCAGUGUGUAAAUAGAGUCCCGUGUGUAAAUAGAGUCCAGUGUGUAAAUAGAGUCCAGUGUGUAGAUAGAGUCCAGUGUGUAGAUAGAGUCCAGUGUGUGUGUAGAGUCCAGUGUGUGGGUAGAGUCCAGUGUGUUGGGUAGAGUAGUGUGUUGGGUAGAGUAGUGUGUGGGUAGAGUCCAGUGUGUGUGUAGAGUCCAGUGUGUGGGUAGAGUCCAGUGUGUUGGGUAGAGUCCAGUCUGUGGGGGUAGAGUCCAGUGUGUUGGGUAGAGUCCAGUGUGUGGGUAGAGUCCAGUGUGUGUGUAGAGUGCAGUGUGUGGGGGUAGAGUCCAGUUUGUUGGGUAGAGUCCAGUGUGUGGGUAGAGUCCAGUGUGUUGGGUAGAGUCCAGUGUGUGGGGUAGAGUCCAGUGUGUUGGAUAGAGUCCAGUGUGUUGGAUAGAGUCCAGUGUGUUGGAUAGAGUCCAGUGUGUAGAUAGAGUCCAGUGUGUGUGUAGAGUCCAGUGUGUGUGUAGAGUCCAGUGUGUUGGGUAGAUCCAGUGUGUUGGGUAGAGUAGUGUGUGGGUAGAGACCAGUGUGUGUGUAGAGUCCAGUGUGUGGGGGUAGAGUCCAGUUUGUUGGGUAGAGUCCAGUGUGUGGGUAGAGUCCAGUGUGUUGGGUAGAGUCCAGUGUGUGGGGUAGAGUCCAGUGUGUGUGUAGAGUCCAGUGUGUGGGUAGAGUCCAGUGUGUUGGGUAGAGUAGUGUG
ensembl:lncRNA